rnacentral:rRNA from 1 species
UACGAAGGGGGCUAGCGUUGCUCGGAAUCACUGGGCGUAAAGCGCACGUAGGCGGAUUGUUAAGUCAGGGGUGAAAUCCUGGAGCUCAACUCCAGAACUGCCUUUGAUACUGGCGAUCUCGAGUCCGGGAGAGGUGAGUGGAACUGCGAGUGUAGAGGUGAAAUUCGUAGAUAUUCGCAAGAACACCAGUGGCGAAGGCGGCUCACUGGCCCGGUACUGACGCUGAGGUGCGAAAGCAUGGGUAGCAAACAGG